AAUGUGAUGAUGUUGUCUCUUGUUGUUGCCCCUGGCUCUCUUUCUCUCUCUUUCCCUCGCACUCUGUUCCUGUGCUACUGCGAGUGUAACUACCGCCCCUUCCCCCUCUGCUCAGCGAAGCACAAGGCUCACGUGCGGAGUGAAGCGAAAAAAAAGUGUGAGAGAGAGAGAGGGUGAGAGAGCAAAAAAACCACGGCUCCCAAUAAGGAGCCGGCUCGCGUCGUUCACUUCAAAGAGUCGGCUCUAAGAGCCGUUUCGUUCGGGACCAACACAUCACUACUGAACAGGGUCAAAAUUUCAGCUAAUAGAUGAUGUCAUUUGUUUAUUUAUUCACAUUAACCCUUUUCAUUUCAUUUCUUGAUUUAUGAAGCUUAUAUUAAUUACAUUUCUGUACUGUGACUUUGAUAUAUGCAUAAAACAUACACUUAUACAUAUUUAAAUGGGAAGCGAUAUAGAUAUGCCCUAGCUUACUUUUCAACAGAAAUCUGAACAUGAGGGGAAAAAGUACAAACGCCCUUUUCUAGAAUCUUUUAGAAUUUAUCAGUAGUGAUAAAGAGUGAGCAGUCUGAGAUGUCAGUGAACAACAACCAAGAGAAAAACAGAAACACUUUCCAAGACAAAUGAAAGCUGAUUGAUCAGAGAGACUUACAGCAGUGGUGCUGAGUCCCGGUUCUCCUCACAGACCCAAGAGUUCACAGAGUGGAGCUGAAGACUUCACCGGAGCUGGAUCACCUCACCUGCAAACACUGAAACACUGAGUGCUCGGAGAUCCUGAGCUGGAGCUGAUUUGUUUUGUGAUUGUUUCCUCCUCGUCACUUCAGUCAAACCUGAAUCUUGAUCUUGAGUUAGUAGAGCAAACUGGUUUUCUCUGCUUGUUCCAGGAAUUUCCAGUUAAAGCAAAGAUCAGAACGGAUAUACUGUCAGUCACACACUAGAUUAGUAUUAGUGUUGUAAAAUACUUCUGAACAAACACUGGCAGAUAGAUAGAGGCCAUACAAAAAAAAAAAUCAGUUCUGUUCUGUAGCGGAGGGUCUCCAAAGUGUGCAUUUCUCUGUGGUGCUGACCAAUGACUUUAGAAACGAUGGACGACCUUAUAGCUGUAGCAACUGCAGUCACGGAGAAGCUUGCAUAUCUCUUUUUGGGAAUGGCAGACAGAGCAGAGAUGCGGAGAGGAGGUCCAGCAUUUAAAACUGACAACCUGAGGUGUUCUUUAGUAAACUGGACUAUCCAACAGACUGACCCGAGGCCCCACUGCAAUAUUUUUGUACUCAGGCAGCAGCUCAAACACCGGUGAUAAUACAUCCCUAUGUUCUGGCCACAUUGCAGCAGACUGAACCAGGACUGGAAACCUACUCCUGUCACGGUCUGCUGGGGCAAGCCGUCAUAUAGCCGAAUUAUUUAGGACCAGGAAGCGGCAGCUCAGGUGCAGGUGAGUGUUUAUUUAACAAAAGCAAAUACAAACAGCAAUGGCGCGGGUGAAGGUGAAACAGGAGAACCUAAACUGGGCGAACUAAUAAAACAAACCAGAAACGUAGAUGCAGGGAGGACGGAUGGAGAGACGCAGGGAGACCGAGGUAAACAACACAGAAUGACGGAGGGGACUAACGCAGACGAACCAGCAACCACUAAGACAGAAGACACGACUUAAAAACACUCAGAGAACAAAGGGAGAUUACACACAGGUGGGGGACACAGCUGGGAGUGAUUAACAUGACGAGACUAGGGAGGCAAACUGAAAACACUCACAUAGGACACAGACCUUCACAAUAAAACAGGAACUUACACAUGCAAGGACACCGACUAAGAAACGCAGACAUGACACAGGAACACACGGGCAGCACAGAGUAACACUAAACAGAGGAAGAACAGAACCAAAAUCACAAUAAUAGAAAACACAUAACGCUGGGUCAAAAGGACCCAGGAUCAUGACAACUCCAUCAUCUCAUCUCUGCAAAUCUUCAUUUAAGAAGC